AUUGAACGCUGGCGGCAGGCCUAACACAUGCAAGUCGAGCGGAUGAAGGGAGCUUGCUCCUGGAUUCAGCGGCGGACGGGUGAGUAAUGCCUAGGAAUCUGCCUGGUAGUGGGGGAUAACGUCCGGAAACGGGCGCUAAUACCGCAUACGUCCUGAGGGAGAAAGUGGGGGAUCUUCGGACCUCACGCUAUCAGAUGAGCCUAGGUCGGAUUAGCUAGUUGGUGGGGUAAAGGCCUACCAAGGCGACGAUCCGUAACUGGUCUGAGAGGAUGAUCAGUCACACUGGAACUGAGACACGGUCCAGACUCCUACGGGAGGCAGCAGUGGGGAAUAUUGGACAAUGGGCGAAAGCCUGAUCCAGCCAUGCCUCGUGUGUGAAGAAGGUCUUCGGAUUGUAAAGCACUUUAAGUUGGGAGGAAGGGCAGUAGGUUAAUACCUUGCUGUUUUGACGUUACCAACAGAAUAAGCACCGGCUAACUUCGUG
rnacentral:rRNA from 1 species